rnacentral:lncRNA from 1 species
CUCAUGUGGACCUGGGAUGGGAAGGGCCUGAAAACAAUGCUGGGCCACGCCCUCGGUGGGCAGGAUGCCGCUGCAGCUCCUCACUGCCCGGAACACCAGUGGCAGGCGUGACCCUGAACCCCGCCUGGGCUGGGGUCUGUGGCGCCACAGGAAAUCUGGGCAGGAACCAUCAGCUCUGGGUUCACAUCCCACCCUGGUACCUGCUAGUUGCGUGACCUCAUACAAGCUGCUCAGUUUUUACAUUGCUGAAGUGAGGGUGAUGAUGGUGGCUCACACUCACAAAGCACGUUACCUGUGUGAUCUCACCAAAUCUUCACAGCGACCUCCAAAGGCAGGGAUGGCUGUCAGGCCAUUUUACAGAUGAGCAAAACCGAGGCUCCAUGAGCGUAACUUGGCAUGAAGGAGUCUCAGAGCUUGGAUUCCAACCCAGAUGUGUUGGACCCCAAAGUUUCUGUUUGUUACCUGCUAGCCAGACUGCUUACCUUCUGAACCAAGGUUUUUCACCAAUCUGAGCCCCAACUGUAUCCCAUGCAAAUUAGGCCCUGAGGAGGACUAAGUGGCACAGCAAGUGGCAGCACUUUGUCACCUGGGGGGAGGCAGGACAAGUGUCGGCCGCUUUGCUUCCCUGCCCAGCUCUGUUGCUCUAAGCUGCAGCUCAAACAGGAAACACCAGCUUCCCAAGAUAAGGCCCCAGCACCCAUGGGAGGGGGGUGGGGGCAGUACCAGGCUUAUAUUGGGCCUGGUGUGCCAGCCCCUGACCCCACCACUGCCCCCUCCCUCUACGCUUGGCUAGCCCUGGGAAGCCAGAGGUGGUGACCCCACCCUUGGAGAAUGCCCACUGGAAUUCACCCUGAGUCCUGGCUGUCCGCCUCCAGCUACUUCUGAUUGGCUCUCCCUGCGGCCAGGCCAGUGGGGGCGUCGAGGCAUACUGCUAUACCCUGGGAACAAGAAGAGUCAGACCCAGCUAGCCUGGAGCAACUCAAUGAAUCAACAGCAGCAGCCAUGGCUCCUCUUCCAGGGCAGCCCAGGGCAGGCACUGCCAGUCGAUCCCAGCACCCUUUCCCUCAGACCCCGGACUCAGCCUCAAAAUUCGUCUCCAGCCAGGGGAUUUAGCUCAGUGGUUUCACCGCCUGCCGCGCAAGCGCAAGGACCCGAGUUCGAUUCCCAGUACCAAAAAUAAAAUAAAAUAAAACAAAGAUUCAUCUCUUCCCAGAGCUUCAGGCAGCCAGUUCUCAUCAACUGGAGUUGGUCCAAAUAUGGAAACUCUUUGUUGUACCUAGC